rnacentral:rRNA from 1 species
GGAGGAAGUAGGGGAUCGCAAGACCUUGCGCUAUUGGAGCGGCCGAUGCCUGAUUAGCUUGUUGGUGAGGUAAAAGCUCACCAAGGCUUCGAUCAGUAGCUGGUCUGAGAGGACGACCAGCCACACUGGGACUGAGACACGGCCCAGACUCCUACGGGAGGCAGCAGUGGGGAAUUUUGGACAAUGGGGGAAACCCUGAUCCAGCCAUGCCGCGUGAGUGAAGAAGGCCUUCGGGUUGUAAAGCUCUUUCAGCCGGAACGAAACGGUUACGGUUAAUACCCGUGACUACUGACGGUACCGGAAGAAGAAGCACCGGCUAACUACGUGCCAGCAGCCGCGGUAAUACGUAGGGUGCGAGCGUUAAUCGGAAUUACUGGGCGUAAAGCGUGCGCAGGCGGUUUUGUAAGUCAGAUGUGAAAUCCCCGGGCUUAACCUGGGAACUGCGUUUGAAACUACAAAGCUAG